UAAACUACGAUUAGAUACCCUAUUAUUUUAAAUGUAAAUUUUACUUGCUGGAGUAGUAAUAGAUAUGUUCUUGAAACUCAAAGAAUUUGGCGGUGCUUUAGUCCUUUCAGAGGAACCUGCCCCAUAAUCGAUAGUCCACGUUUUAUCUUGCUUGAUCUAGUAGUCAGUCUGUAUACCGCCGUCGUCAGAAUGUCCUUCCAGGGAAUAAAUUUUCUUGAUUUUUGAAUAAAAUAGAUGUCAGGUCAAGGUGCAGUUUAUGGUCAAGAGGAGGUGGGUUACAAUAAAUUAAUUUAAAUGGAUACUGGUUUUAAAUAGUUAGUUGAAGGUGGAUUUGAUUGUAAUGAUGGGAAUAAUACUAGUUUGAUUUUGGCUCUAAAGCAUGCACACAUCGCCCGUCGCUCUUA
rnacentral:rRNA from 1 species